GCAAACCAUAUGGGCAAAUAACAUUAUUGCUGUACUGCCAUAUUCACUGCUGGGGAUACCGGCAUUUACCAUAGCUUGGAUCACUGAAGGUGACGAGUCCAGUGCCCUUGAAGUCGCAGUUCCAGUAGUUCCUUCCAUGCAUCUGAUAAUAUGCAUUCAUGGCAAAUGAUGCAUGUGCAUGGAGCUUGUCUGGUGCAAAACAAUUACCACUUUCAUAUAUCUCUCUGCAAUCCACUCCACCUGGUCCACAGCAGAAGUCCAACACAGCUUGAAGCACCUUCUCAUCUGCAUGGGGCUUAGCCACACACCAAACUGAAGGACCUCUUACUCCACUUGACGUUUUCUCUCCGAAUUCAAAUGUCCCUUCAUUGCUGCAGAACUGGCAGCUCAAAUCCACAUCGUAUACCUUAGAUCCAUCCCCAUUAAAAAUCCCAAAAUUUCUUUCACUCGCACCACCAUCCUUUUUGUUCUCAUUGAACAAAGCAAACACAAAUAUCUCUAUAUUAUCCUUAGGCUUCAUGGGCGUCCCUUUAUUGGACUGUGCACGUUGGAUCAACCUGGUAUUAUAAGUCUUUGCAUUAUCUGGAGUCGCUGCUGUGUCGCCAGGAUCACCUUUGGAUGGCCAACCAGAUUCCGACACUGUAAUCUUAACAGUCUGAUUUCCAUACCCUAGUGCGUUGAUGGCUGAUCUAACAGCAUCAAUUUGUGCAUCUAACAUAUUGUUGUAGAUAUAGCCCAUAGGAUCACGGACUCCGGUAGCAUUACCUAGUAAGGCAUACUGUAGAUUAACUGAACUAGGGUUGUCCCUGUAAGCGAAAUAUGGGUAAGCAUUGACCAUGAAAGAAGAACCAGUGUCAGCUAGAAAUCCCACCAAGGAGGUCAUGGUGGGCAUAAGGGUAGUGGCGAAAGAGGAAGCUGAAGGAGGAAAUGAGGAAGCAAGAACAGCCAUGCUAUGUGGGGUUGUGAUCUUGAUUUUGCGAUCAAGCCCACGUGCUACUAGCACUGCAUGCAAGUUCUGCAUGGCUUGAACAAGAUUAUUUGGGCGCAAAUGGUCGGGAUCUGUGGUUAAAUACUCAUUGCCUACGGCUAUGGCCACUAUGGAAGUGGCAGGAAUAAAGGGCAGCACACGGUUGGCAAACCACUCGUCUGCAGCUGAUACCUCGGAGCUGAUGUUUGCCACAUGAUAGUUCUCCACCGCGACAAUGAGGUCUAUUCCGGUGUUGGAAAAGGCCUCGAGGAUUUCAGGAUUAGUGUCGUAGAUUUUGACCUUGUCAAUGAGUGUGGACUGAAGGAGCUGCGCUACUCUCUUCGGUGAUGGGAGGUUGUUUCCGAGAGUACCAUAGUUUACUCCGACACUGGAAACUUUUUGGAAGGGGCAGAGAACAAGGAGAAGGAGAAGGAGCUGGAGAGAAGACAUUAAGGUUUGUUCAACUGUGGUACUGGGCAUUUAGAGCAUGAGUUUUGCUAGCUGGCUAGUGCAUAUAUAUAGCGGAUACCUGUAGCACUUUUCAUGGGGCAAAUACCAUCGGCCUUCGAAAGAGUUAAAAAAGGUUGGGACCUAGGCCAGCGAUACAAAG
rnacentral:misc_RNA from 1 species